UCAGUGUCUGGUGAACACUGCAAGAGGUGGUGGUUGAAUUCUAGUUACUAUCUAAAUAUUUUCUUUUAUAUGAUUUUAAAUAUCUGGAGGAAGAAGCAAGUUUAACAACUUAUUGUCUAUCAGUUUCAUAAGCCCUAGUGAUUUGGAUUCUGCAGGAUUACAAGAAGCAUGCCUGAAGAAAUCAGAUGUUAAGUACUCAGCUAUUUUUUUUUUAAUCCCAGAAUAUAGACUCAUGCAUAUAAAUAUAGAAUGGGUUGUGUUGGAAGAUCAUUUUCCAGUAUAAAUUCAGCAGGCUUUUUCUAGCCUUCCAACCUUCAAGUGCACCUUCCAUCUGUGCAAGACAGUGCAUGCUCUGUGUCACACUGACUGGGACUGUGCUGAUUAUAAUCCCCCUUUAGGUACUGAAAGACCUCCAUCUGCUUCCUGGAGCACUCUCUUCUCCAGCUUGAACAACCCCAACUCUUUCAGCCUGUCUUUGCUGCUGAGGUGUUCCAGCCUUCUCAGCAUCUUUGUGGCCUCCUCUGACCCUGCUAUUUGAAAACCAGUAUCAUCAGCAGCGAUCAACAGUGAAUAUCAUGUAUUUGAAGCCAUCAGUAUUUUAGUUUUUCAGAUUCCAUUCCAUUGAAUUGUCUUGGACAGCCUAAAGCUACCUGCUGAAUUCCUGGUGCAACUACAUCAUUCCUGUAGGAGGAAGGAUCAUUGAUCAUUGUGUGGGAUAUGAGAUCCAUGUGGGGGAUCUGUACAGAUACCCUGCUGUGAGCACUGCACGACUACAUUUGCUUCUUGGUUUACUAUGCCAAGCACCAGGAGCCUCAGCAGAGUCACACCAAACUGGAGGAAUUUUCAGUUUUCCUCUGUGGAUCACAAGACUUGGCCAAGACUGCCAAGUAUUACUAAAUACACCAAUAAAAAUACAAAAACAUGGAAGGUUUCAUACAGCUGUGAUCUUCUUUACCACCGCUUGGGUACUAUCAGCAAAUUUUUUGUUCCUUUAAAGGAUAAAAGGACCACUGGUUUUAGGCUCACUGCAGUGACAUAGAGAAUUUGUGGACUGAUAGAAUUAUUGCAGGAUAAAUUCAGAAAGUAAACAGAGCCUGUAGGGAACUCAGAAUAGAUCUAGGUAUUCAGCAACUAGGGUCUGUUUGCAUUUGUAAUCUGUGCAAUGAUUAUGACUGAGGACACAUCUGAUAAAAUAUUUCCCCUCCUAAUUACAGUGUGCUACAGAUAAGUUCAAGUAGACAAAGGUACUUCAUUAUUGUAAUGGAAUUUCCAAGCAGAAAACACAAACAUUUUGCUACUAGAUCAGUGCUUCUUUAAGUCUCAUUUUCUUCAUAAGUAAACAAUUGCUUGUAUCAGCUAUUCCUUUGUUCACUGAAACAAUCAUUAGGCCUACAUCAGAGAAUGUCAGCUUUAGUUCCUUCCUUUGAAUUCUGAGAAGUGCUCAUCUCACAUGAGAGUAGCACAGA